CCUACGGGUGGCAGCAGUGAGGAAUAUUGGUCAAUGGGCGGGAGCCUGACCCAGCCAAGCCGCGUGAGGGAAGAAGGUACAGCGUAUCGUAAACCUCUUUUGUCAGGGAACAAAGACGGGGACUCGUCCCCGGAUGAGGGUACCUGAAGAAGAAGCAUCGGCUAACUCCGUGCCAGCAGCCGCGGUAAUACGGGGGAUGCGAGCGUUAUCCGGGUUGAUUGGGUUAAAGGGGUGCGCAGUGGGCCUGUUAGGUCAGCGGUAAAAGCACGGGGCUCAACCCCGGCGAGCCGUUGAAACUGGCGGGCUGGAGUUGGAGAGAAGUACGCGGAAUGCGCGGUGUAGCGGUGAAAUGCAUAGAUAUCGCGCAGAACCCCGAUUGCGAAGGCAGCGUACCGGCUCCACACUGACGCUGAGGCACGAAAGCGUGGGUAUCGAACAGGAUUAGAUACCCGUGUAGUC
rnacentral:rRNA from 1 species